AACGAACGCUGGCGGCAGGCUUAACACAUGCAAGUCGAACGCGUGCAGCAAUGCACGAGUGGCGCACGGGUGAGUAACGCGUGGAUAUCUGCCUUUUGGUUCGGAAUAACCCCGGGAAACUGGGGCUAAUACCGGAUGGUUCCUACGGGAUAAAGAUUUAUCGCCAAAAGAUGGGUCCGCGUCCGAUUAGCUAGUUGGUGAGGUAAUGGCUCACCAAGGCGACGAUCGGUAGCUGGUCUGAGAGGACGAUCAGCCACACUGGGACUGAGACACGGCCCAGACUCCUACGGGAGGCAGCAGUGGGGAAUAUUGGACAAUGGGGGCAACCCUGAUCCAGCCAUGCCGCGUGAGUGAUGAAGGCCUUCGGGUUGUAAAGCUCUUUUGGCGGGGACGAUGAUGACGGUACCCGCAGAAUAAGCCCCGGCUAACUUCGUG
rnacentral:rRNA from 1 species